CGGUGGAGUGAUCUGUCUGGUUAAUUCCGAUAACGAACGAGACCUUGGCCUGCUAAUUAGGUGUCAGUUACUUCGGUUUCGGGCACCUGCUUAGAGGGACUGCGUAAGUCUACUACGAGGAAGCUCAAGGCUACAACA
rnacentral:rRNA from 1 species